CUGGUUCGAGACACCCGGAGGAAACAUUGGCAUCAGCCUAGUCACAAGAAAUGACACUAGAGAAAAAGUGUCCACAGAGGAUAACGGGUGUCUGAAACAAGAAUGGAACAAUCAGUUCAGCGUCACAGAGCAGAAUAUUUCAGUUGCAGUUUGUCAUUUCUUAUUAUCCAGAAUUUCUCUCAACAAUUAGCCUCUCAUCAUUACGAAGAUCAUUAGGAAAUUACCGCAUUCAGUUUCUACAAAUUGGUAGACACACCUGAGUUAUCGUGCAGAUGGUCUACACAAAGAACUUUCUGUUCCGUGCAUUAACUACGAGAUAAAAAGCUGAAAUUUGGCAGGAUGGCGCACCGAGGGCGGUAGGUAUCAGCUAAGAAAGGAAACUUCGAUAUAUCAAUGUUUAGGGAUUAGAAAAUCGGCACAACUAAAAAUAACCAAGUACCCCAAAAUCUCAAAGAUGAUUUGACUGAAAUUUAGUGACGUUAUAGAAAAAUGAAAAUUAGCCAACAUGUGUGUUUUAUGAAUUGUUGAUAUUUGUUGAUAGAAACGCUUUAGCGAGAGGCCCGUUCCAACACACCGCCUCCUUUUUUCACAUCUCAGCAUUGAGAAUCCAUCGCACUGGGAAAUGCAGUCUGCUGGAUUUUGGAAAUGAAAGCUUACAGCAGAACGACACCACUGGCCAAAAGGGUUGAUGGACAAGGGAAGGAGAGGAAGUGUCCUGCUGUAAAGGACCACACACACACACACACACAUGGAUGGGUGUCCCAACUGGAACUGGUUCCUUUCCAUUAACAAGCCAGGAGACCAAUGUGACAGAACCAUGGAGGAGGGCUUCAUUUCAAAACUACAUACCUCUCCAAAAUGCUAGAUGGCAGCAUCCCUGGGCUCUGGGAGCCAUUCCGAUACCCGCCAUGAAUCAUGGGACUUGUAGUGCAGUAAUGGCGGCCCUGCUGGGAUCCAUGGAUGCCACCAGAGGGAGCUACAGGGAGUUGGACUCUCUGCCUUAGGGAACUUCCGAUUGGCCUAUAAAAGGAGUGGCUCUACCUCUUUCAGCGCAUUGGAGUCAGGAGGAAGAGGGCCACACUUUGGGAGGAAGAGGAGUUUAAGGAAAGAUGAGAGAAGAAAAGAAUCACCGUUGAUCGUGUUUGUCUUGGUUAGAAAGGUAUUGGAAGAAUUAAAACCUUUAUUUG